UCUGGCUCAGAUUGAACGCUGGCGGCAUGCCUUACACAUGCAAGUCGAACGGCAGCGGACCUUCGGGUGCCGGCGAGUGGCGAACGGGUGAGUAAUAUAUCGGAACGUACCUUCAGUGGGGAUAACGUAGCGAAAGUUACGCUAAUACCGCAUAUUCUGUGAGCAGGAAAGCAGGGGAUCGCAAGACCUUGCGCUGAUUGAGCGGCCGAUAUCAGAUUAGCUAGUUGGUGAGGUAAAGGCUCACCAAGGCGACGAUCUGUAGCGGGUCUGAGAGGAUGAUCCGCCACACUGGAACUGAGACACGGUCCAGACUCCUACGGGAGGCAGCAGUGGGGAAUUUUGGACAAUGGGCGCAAGCCUGAUCCAGCCAUGCCGCGUGAGUGAAGAAGGCCUUCGGGUUGUAAAGCUCUUUCGGCCGGGAAGAAAUCGCACAGGUUAAUACCCUGUGUGGAUGACGGUACCGGAAUAAGAAGCACCGGCUAACUCCGUG
rnacentral:rRNA from 1 species